CAACCCUUAAGCUUAGUUGCCAUCAUUAAGUUGGGCACUCUAAGUUGACUGCCGGUGACAAACCGGAGGAAGGUGGGGAUGACGUCAAAUCAUCAUGCCCCUUAUGAUUUGGGCUACACACGUGCUACAAUGGACAAUACAAAGGGCAGCGAAACCGCGAGGUCAAGCAAAUCCCAUAAAGUUGUUCUCAGUUCGGAUUGUAGUCUGCAACUCGACUACAUGAAGCUGGAAUCGCUAGUAAUCGUAGAUCAGCAUGCUACGGUGAAUACGUUCCCGGGUCUUGUACACACCGCCCGUCACACCACGAGAGUUUGUAACACCC
rnacentral:rRNA from 1 species